rnacentral:rRNA from 1 species
AUUGAACGCUGGCGGCAGGCUUAACACAUGCAAGUCGAGCGGAGAUGAGGUGCUUGCACCUUAUCUUAGCGGCGGACGGGUGAGUAAUGCUUAGGAAUCUGCCUAUUAGUGGGGGACAACAUUCCGAAAGGAAUGCUAAUACCGCAUACGUCCUACGGGAGAAAGCAGGGGAUCUUCGGACCUUGCGCUAAUAGAUGAGCCUAAGUGGGAUUAGCUAGUUGGUGGGGUAAAGGCCUACCAAGGCGACGAUCUGUAGCGGGUCUGAGAGGAUGGACAGCCGCGCUGGGACUGAGACACGGCCCAGAGUCCUACGGGUGGCAGCAGUGGGGAAUAUUGGACAAUGGGGGAAACCCUGAUCCAGCCAUGCCGUGUGUGUGAAGAAGGCCUUAUGGUUGUAAAGCACUUUAAGCGAGGAGGAGGCUACUGAGACUAAUACUCUUGGAUAGUGGACGUUACUCGCAGAAUAAGCACCGGCUAACUCUGUGCCAGCCGCCGCAGUAA